rnacentral:lncRNA from 1 species
GCGCCCAGACGAGCAAGGCUGAGAGCGACACGGCAAGUCUAGCGCGCUGAACGCCCGUCCGUCUCGGGAACCAAAGGGGAAAUUCCCUGCUGGAGCGCCUUUGGAGUCUCCGCUCCAGGCAGAGAAAUGGUGCGGGCGACCUUCUUUAUUACGCAAUCUGUUUAACAAGGACUCUUUGCAUCAGUAAAUAUCCAGCCACGCCACAAAGCCUUCUACUACAUUUAACUGCAGUCGG